CGGCAGGCUUAACACAUGCAAGUCGAACGGGCGUCGCAAGACGUCAGUGGCAGACGGGUGAGUAACGCGUGGGAACAUACCCUCUGGUUCGGAAUAACUCAGGGAAACUUGAGCUAAUACCGAAUACGCCCCCGGGCUUGGCCCGGGGGGAAAGAUUCAUUGCCGGAGGAUUGGCCCGCGUCCGAUUAGCUUGUUGGCGGGGUAACGGCCCACCAAGGCGACGAUCGGUAGCUGGUCUGAGAGGAUGAUCAGCCACAUUGGGACUGAGACACGGCCCAAACUCCUACGGGAGGCAGCAGUGGGGAAUAUUGGACAAUGGGCGCAAGCCUGAUCCAGCCAUGCCGCGUGAGUGAUGACGGCCUUAGGGUUGUAAAGCUCUUUCGCUCGGGACGAUAAUGACGGUACCGAGAGAAGAAGCCCCGGCUAACUUCGUGCCAGCCGCCGCCGUAAAAC
rnacentral:rRNA from 1 species